ACGGAAGGCAGCAGUGGGGAAUAUUGCACAAUGGGGGAAACCCUGAUGCAGCGACGCCGCGUGAGCGAAGAAGUAUUUCGGUAUGUAAAGCUCUAUCAGCAGGGAAGAAAAUGACGGUACCUGACUAAGAAGCCCCGGCUAACUACGUGCCAGCAGCCGCGGUAAUACGUAGGGGGCAAGCGUUAUCCGGAUUUACUGGGUGUAAAGGGAGCGUAGACGGCAAGGUAAGUCUGAAGUGAAAUGCCGGGGCUCAACCCCGGAACUGCUUUGGAAACUAUCUCGCUCGAGUACCGGAGGGGUAAGCGGAAUUCCUAGUGUAGCGGUGAAAUGCGUAGAUAUUAGGAGGAACACCAGUGGCGAAGGCGGCUUACUGGACUGUAACUGACGUUGAGGCUCGAAAGCGUGGGGAGCAAACAGGAUUAGAUACCCUGGUA
rnacentral:rRNA from 2 species